rnacentral:rRNA from 1 species
CAGUCGCCGCGGGAAUACGAAGGGUGCAAGCGUUACUCGGAAUUACUGGGCGUAAAGCGUGCGUAGGCGGCUUCUUAAGUCGGAUGUGAAAUCCCUGAGCUUAACUUAGGAAUUGCAUUCGAUACUGGGAAGCUAGAGUAUGGGAGAGGAUGGUAGAAUUCCAGGUGUAGCGGUGAAAUGCGUAGAGAUCUGGAGGAAUACCGAUGGCGAAGGCAGCCAUCUGGCCUAAUACUGACGCUGAGGUACGAAAGCAUGGGGAGCAAACAGGAUUAGAGACCCCGGUAGUCCCUGUCUCUUAUAC